rnacentral:snRNA from 1 species
AUUGCUUCUCUGCCUUUUGGCUAAGAUCAAGUGUAACACAAUUUCUUAGUACGUUUUGUAAGUCUUGUAUUACUUAAAAUUAUUUUUGUUUAGCCCUCACACAUGAAUGAAACGUUACCUAGGUGUGUAACCAUU